rnacentral:tRNA from 1 species
UGGGUUGUGGCUCAGUGGUAGAGCACUUGCCUAGCAUGUGUGAUGCCCUGGGUUCGAUUCUCAGCACUGCAU